AACGCUGGCGGCGUGCCUAAUACAUGCAAGUAGAACGCUGAAGAGAGGAGCUUGCUCUUCUUGGAUGAGUUGCGAACGGGUGAGUAACGCGUAGGUAACCUGCCUUGUAGCGGGGGAUAACUAUUGGAAACGAUAGCUAAUACCGCAUAACAAUGGAUGACCCAUGUCAUUUAUUUGAAAGGGGCAAAUGCUCCACUACAAGAUGGACCUGCGUUGUAUUAGCUAGUAGGUGAGGUAACGGCUCACCUAGGCGACGAUACAUAGCCGACCUGAGAGGGUGAUCGGCCACACUGGGACUGAGACACGGCCCAGACUCCUACGGGAGGCAGCAGUAGGGAAUCUUCGGCAAUGGGGGCAACCCUGACCGAGCAACGCCGCGUGAGUGAAGAAGGUUUUCGGAUCGUAAAGCUCUGUUGUAAGUCAAGAACGAGUGUGAGAGUGGAAAGUUCACACUGUGACGGUAGCUUACCAGAAAGGGACGGCUAACUACGUGCCAGCAGCCGCGGUAAUACGUAGGUCCCGAGCGUUGUCCGGAUUUAUUGGGCGUAAAGCGAGCGCAGGCGGUUUGAUAAGUCUGAAGUUAAAGGCUGUGGCUCAACCAUAGUUCGCUUUGGAAACUGUCAAACUUGAGUGCAGAAGGGGAGAGUGGAAUUCCAUGUGUAGCGGUGAAAUGCGUAGAUAUAUGGAGGAACACCGGUGGCGAAAGCGGCUCUCUGGUCUGUAACUGACGCUGAGGCUCGAAAGCGUGGGGAGCGAACAGGAUUAGAUACCCUGGUAGUCCACGCCGUAAACGAUGAGUGCUAGGUGUUGGAUCCUUUCCGGGAUUCAGUGCCGCAGCUAACGCAUUAAGCACUCCGCCUGGGGAGUACGACCGCAAGGUUGAAACUCAAAGGAAUUGACGGGGGCCCGCACAAGCGGUGGAGCAUGUGGUUUAAUUCGAAGCAACGCGAAGAACCUUACCAGGUCUUGACAUCCCGAUGCUAUUUCUAGAGAUAGAAAGUUACUUCGGUACAUCGGUGACAGGUGGUGCAUGGUUGUCGUCAGCUCGUGUCGUGAGAUGUUGGGUUAAGUCCCGCAACGAGCGCAACCCCUAUUGUUAGUUGCCAUCAUUCAGUUGGGCACUCUAGCGAGACUGCCGGUAAUAAACCGGAGGAAGGUGGGGAUGACGUCAAAUCAUCAUGCCCCUUAUGACCUGGGCUACACACGUGCUACAAUGGUUGGUACAACGAGUUGCGAGUCGGUGACGGCAAGCUAAUCUCUUAAAGCCAAUCUCAGUUCGGAUUGUAGGCUGCAACUCGCCUACAUGAAGUCGGAAUCGCUAGUAAUCGCGGAUCAGCACGCCGCGGUGAAUACGUUCCCGGGCCUUGUACACACCGCCCGUCACACCACGAGAGUUUGUAACACCCGAAGUCGGUGAGGUAACCUUUUGGAGCCAGCCGCCUAAGGUGGGAUAGAUGAUUGGGGUGA
rnacentral:rRNA from 1 species